AAUGCUAGUAUCCUCUGGAAUUCAUUUCCAGAACCUAAAUUCCUGGAUCAGAGUUUACAAAAUAAAAGAGACUAAUGAAAACCAAGGAACGUCUGGUCUUAAGUUGAGAUGCUAAAGGAAUUCCAAGAAAAGGUGAAGGAACAAAGAACAGUGGCCAAACAUCACAAAUGGAAAUGCUGAGCACAUAUCUACACACUUUUGAGGAUAAAAGAAGAUCAGACAUAAAGCACUUGACACAUAACAAUAUGGCCUGAAUCAUCUUGGCUCUGCUUUUCCACAUAAAUUUAGAACAGCUUGGAAGAUUUUUAUUGGGGUUGAAAUUUCAUGAAUCAUGACAAUAGUGAAUACAGUUUUAUUAUAAACUAUAUCAUUAUUACAGCA